CAACCCGGAUGGCUGCUGGCUUAGGCUAGAGGAAAGUCCAUGCUCGCACUUUCUGCGAUGAAAGUAGUGUUUGUGCCAAAGGAAAAAAUAACUUUGGGCAAGGAGGAGUCCUUGACGGCGGAGAAGACCUUCACUUCGGUAUGGUCGUAUCCAUAAAGCUCCACAGUGACGAAUUAAAUGGAAACAUUUAAGUGAAACGCGGAAAGCCCCGCAAGCGAGAAACCUAAAUUAUGGUAAGGGAAGAUGGAUGCGAGAAAUGAAUCGCAAACAUCAAGCAGAAAUGCUUAGAUAAAUUGUCAUCCUCGACAAAACAUGGCUUACAAGG
rnacentral:RNase_P_RNA from 1 species